rnacentral:rRNA from 1 species
GACGAACGCUGGCGGCGCGCCUAACACAUGCAAGUCGAACGGAGCUAUUUCGAUAGAUCUCUUCGGAGUGACAUUGGCUUAGCUUAGUGGCGAACGGGUGAGUAACACGUGAGGAACCUGCCUUUCAGAGGGGGACAACAGUUAGGAAACGACUGCUAAUACCGCAUAAGACCACGAUACGGCAUCGUAUUGAGGUCAAAGGAGCAAUCCGCUGAAAGAUGGCCUCGCGUCCGAUUAGCUAGAUGGUGAGGUAACGGCCCACCAUGGCGACGAUCGGUAGCCGGGACUGAGAGGUUGAUCGGCCACAUUGGGACUGAGACACGGGCCCAGGACUCCGUACGGGAGUCAGCAGGUCGGGGAAUAGUGCACAAUGGGAGGAAACUCUGAUGCAGCGACGCCGCGUGA